GGUGCUGUAGCUCAGUGGUAAAGUGCUUGCCUACCACACAUGAGACACAGGGUUUAAUCCUCAGCACCA
rnacentral:tRNA from 1 species